GCGGGUGUAGCUCAGUUGGUUAGAGCGCCAGUUUGUGGUACUGGAAGUCGCCGGUUCAAUUCCGGUCACUCGCCCCA
rnacentral:tRNA from 2 species